AACAUAGAAGACUGGUUCUCCUUUACAAAGCUGCACAAAAACAUUUUCCUUGUGUUUUUUAAAAAGCCCAAGCUCAAGAAGUCUCUAAGUGAGGACAAAAGCUCCAAAAUGAACCUCAAACCUCAAGGAAGAGGGCUGGUGUUUAUGUCUCCAAAUGAGAAAUAUGAAAAACCCAAAGAUGAACAGAAAGAAAAACUCAACAUGUGGGUGAACAACCUCUACGUCUUCUUUGUGAAUGUGCUCUUCAGCGCCUACAAACGUGAGGAGAUGCUCAAGGAGAAAAUUAAGCAGAACAGGCUUGAGGAAGCAGCACUAGCUCAUCAAAGGCAGAUAGAGAAUGAAGAGCUGGAAGCCAGGCUGAACAUCCUACGGGAAGAAGAGGCCAAGAGACAAGACUUCGAUGUUGACAUCACUGUGCUCAAGGAGCCAUUGGAGGCUCCAUCCUCCCACCCACUCACACCCAGCCCUCCUAAAGAAGAGUUGACUUCCCAGACCAGCAGGACCAGCCCUGGCAAGAAGAAGAAGAGGUGAAGGUACUGUGUGUCAUGGCUGAGCUGCAAAGACAGGUAGACAUAAAAGCUGUGACAAAUGUCCCAUAAAAUAAAGGGUUUGC
rnacentral:lncRNA from 1 species